rnacentral:sRNA from 1 species
UUGGAUGCUUAUAGAUUCUCCAUUUCUUGGCCAAGGGUAUUACCGAAAGGAAAGCUUUCUGCAGGAGUAAACAAGGCAGGGAUAAACUACUAUAAUAAUCUCAUCAACGAGCUACUGAAGAAUGGUAUGGAACCAUUUGUGACCAUUUUUCAUUGGGACGUUCCCCAAGCCUUGGAGGAUGAGUAUGGUGGCUUUUUAAGUCGUCACAUUGUAGAUGAUUUUAGAGACUUUGCUGAACUGUGCUUCAAGGAAUUUGGUG